AAUGAACGCUGGCGGCGUGCCUAAUACAUGCAAGUCGAACGCUUCACUUCGGUGAAGAGUGGCGAACGGGUGAGUAAUACAUAAGUAACCUGGCAUCUACAGGGGGAUAACUGAUGGAAACGUCAGCUAAGACCGCAUAGGUGUAGAGAUCGCAUGAACUCUAUAUGAAAAGUGCUACGGGACUGGUAGAUGAUGGACUUAUGGCGCAGUAGCUGGUUGGUAGGGUAACGGCCUACCAAGGCGACGAUGCGUAGCCGACCUGAGAGGGUGACCGGCCACACUGGGACUGAGACACGGCCCAGACUCCUACGGGAGGCAGCAGUAGGGAAUUUUCGGCAAUGGGGGAAACCCUGACCGAGCAACGCCGCGUGAAGGAAGAAGUAAUUCGUUAUGUAAACUUCUGUCAUAGAGGAAGAACGGUGGAUAUAGGGAAUGAUAUCCAAGUGACGGUACUCUAUAAGAAAGCCACGGCUAACUACGUGCCAGCCGCCGCGGUAA
rnacentral:rRNA from 1 species